rnacentral:rRNA from 1 species
GACGGAGGGUGCCAGCGUUAUAGGGAACCACUGGGUUUAAAGGGUGCGUAGGCGGUUACGUAAGUCAGUCGUGAAAUUUCUUGGCUUAACCAAAGAGACUGCGAUUGAUACUGUGUAACUUGAAUAGAGUUGAGGUAUGCGGAAUGUGACAUGUAGCGGUGAAAUGCAUAGAUAUGUCAUAGAACACCGAUUGCUAAGGCAGCAUGCUGGGCUUUAAUUGACGCUGAGGCUCGAAAGCGUGGGGAGCAAACAGG